rnacentral:rRNA from 1 species
UACGUAGGGUGCGAGCGUUAAUCGGAAUUACUGGGCGUAAAGCGUGCGCAGGCGGUCUGUUAAGACCGAUGUGAAAUCCCCGGGCUUAACCUGGGAACUGCAUUGGUGACUGGCAGGCUUUGAGUGUGGCAGAGGGAGGUAGAAUUCCACGUGUAGCAGUGAAAUGCGUAGAGAUGUGGAGGAAUACCGAUGGCGAAGGCAGCCUCCUGGGCCAACACUGACGCUGAGGAGCGAAAGCGUGGGGAGCGAACAGG